rfam:Frankia sp. ETN1h contig_21, whole genome shotgun sequence.
GGGGUCUUAGCUCAUUAGGAAGAGCGUCUCCCUCGCACGGAGAAGGCACGGGGUUCGAAUCCCCGAGGCUCCA